UUCUGGCCCAAAAUCCUGAGUUCGUUGCCAGAUCACGAAGAUCUCCAGAACCACUCCGAGGACCCCAUCGAAGACCUGCAACCGCCAUCCAAACCUAAGGAGUUAGCAGCCGGGAGCAAUCAUCCGGAAUAAGUUCGUACGGCAGCUGUGUUGUAGGGACGGUUUGGCUGGGCAUCCCACCGUCCAAGCUUGAUAAACGCUGUAAGGCACAGUAACUGAAGCUGCUGGUUUGGCUGGGUAGCCCACCGCCAGUAGAAGACGUUGUGUGUUGGUCAUGCAACGACGGAUAGACCCUUGAAGUUUGGCUGGGUACCCCACCGCUUCCAGGAGAAAUCUGUCACCCACCACGCGACCGAACGUGAACCUCGAACAGACUUUGCCUUCUGUUAACCAAGCAAUUCCUUUUCCUGAUUACCGUUGGCUUAUUUUAUAACUUUUUUUAUAACUUUAUAACUAUCUUAACUCGAAUAGAUAUGUGAAGGAGCUACUGACAAAGCUAUGGAGCCUAAUCAGAGAGUUAAAGCUAGAUGAACAAAUAUAAAAUUAUGGGGAAUCUACAAUUUAUAAUCUCUUUCAUUUAUUAAGAUUCUUAAUUAUUCUUUAAAUAAGCUUAACUCAUAGUCCAAUAAAUUGACAGUACGUAACUGUAAAAUUGCUCGUUUCACAAAAUAAAAAUAAAACAAUAGUAAUUUUUUCUUAAAAGGACUAAAAGAUAAGUCGUGAUUAUCAGUUAAAAAUUGCGACAGUUGAAAGUACAGAUUUCAAAUCAAUGUCGUACGUUUUUCAGCAAAAAUAAUUCUUAGUAGCACAGUUUCUAGUCUGGCUGUCACAUAACGUUUCGAAAGACAUCUCUCUUUUUUCAGAAGAAAUUAUGAAAUUAUAAAGUGUGAAUUUAGAAUCUAGUUUUGUUAAUAUAUUUUUUUAAAUCUA